AUGAAUCUUUAAUGAGAAAAAAAGAGGGAAAGUUAGUUGGUGAGUUGUCAUUCUGUUGGCUGCCAUUCUGUUAGAAGUUAGUUAGAAUUUUAUUCCAUCAUAAUUUAUACAUAAUUCAUUAUAAAUAUUUUUAUCAUGAGCUGAGACUCAUAACGAUAAUUCUUAAAUUUCCACUAUGUUUCUUCUCUCUCUUUCUAUCUUUAAUUUUUAAAAUUUUCUCAAUUGUUCUCGAGAAUUAUUCUCCACAAUUUUUCAAUUCUCCUAAUAAAUUGAGAUAGAAUUAUUUGAAUUUUCCUCAAAUUCCUGUGAUUCUAAUUUUAGUGUAUCAAAGUGGUAUCAGAGCCGUCGCUACCUUGGCCUGAGCUUUAACAGUGGCGGAAGAUGCUAGGAGCCACGCCAUUAAAGUGAUGGAAGAAGCUUUCAAUAAGAAGAGCAAUAUCUUGGAUGCCAAAAUAGAGCAGAUGCUUAGUGUCAUGAAGGAUCAUUUGUUAGAAGCCAUUUAAAAGAAACACGAAGAUGAAAAUUCUGGGGGUGUUUUCACCUAUAAUGCUGAGAGCACACCAGAUACUCGACGAAUUGCUUCACGGAAUGAUCAAGAAGGUAAUUUUUCUGGAUCUUCAUAUUCAUGUGUAAUUAGGCUGUCCAAGAUUGAUUUUUUCCGCUUUAAUAGUAAGAAUGUGAAGGAAUUGGUCUACAAAUGUGAUCAAUUUUUUCUAAUUGAUAAUAUCCCAGAAGAGAUGAAGAUUAAACUAGCUGCCAUCCACAUGGAAGGCAAGGCACUACAAUGGCAUCAUGUCUUUGUAAAGACAAUGCUUACCAUAUCUUUGUCUUCUUGAAAGGAGUACGUUAAAGUAGUUAGUGAUUGAUUUGGUGAGGUCUAUGAUGAUCCUAUGUCAGAGCUAAAAACCUUGCAUCGAAUUGGGUCGGUUAAAGAUUACCAUGACCAAUUUGACUCGGUUCUUACAAGGGUCAGUUUACCUGAAGAAUAUUUGGUAAGUUAUUUUGUGACUGGGUUGAGACAUGAUACUCAAAUGCAUGUUAGGAUAUUUUAGCCAAAAUCUAUUAGGCAUGCUUAUGCUUUUGCUAAGCUCUAUGAGGCUGCUUAUCCUUAUUUUGUUUCUGACUUGAAAUACAAUUCCUCUACCUCACCUAUAAAUCAAAAUAUUCACUUGAAUAUGGCCCCUUUUCAUAGAACAGAUUUGAAACCUUAUAUAAACUCACCAUACCUUUUUGUUAAACCACCAAAUAAAUCUACCAGACCUCCACUUUUACCUAAGUCCACAUUAGCUACAAGUUUCCACAAACCUUUGACCAUGGCUGGCAUCUUUCCCUUUUCCUUUAGGUGCGGGUGGUUGAGGAACGCCUAUCCUCUUUUUUACACUUCUAGCUAUACUGUGAAAGAUGGAACCAGCUUUUCUAGUAGUUACAAAUAUGCCCUUCUUGAAAUAGACCAAGCUUUCCCAUCUAAAGUCCAUCAUUUGUAAGGUUGAUAAAAAUGAGAUUAAAUGAAUGAAAAAAAAAAGCCAAAGAGAUUGUGCUUUAUCAGUGAUGAACCAUAUACACCUAGCCACCAUUUGAAGCAUAAGAAAGCCCAGUUGUAUUUCAUGGAGAUUGAGUAUGAAGAGGAAGAUGGUGUUGCAGAUAUAGAAUCCUUAGUGGUUCCAGGAGACACUGUUGGACUGGCUGAUGUUCCAAAAAUUUUUGUGAAUGCACUAUCCAGGGUAUCAAUAUAUCAAACUAUGAGAGUCACUGGUUAUCAUCACAAGAAGGCUUUGCAUAUUCUUAUAGAUAGUGGCAUCACUUGCAAUUUUCUAGAUGACAAGAUAGCUCAAAAAUUGGAGUGUCAAUUCACAACCAUUGAUCCUCUACCAGUAGCAGUAGCAGAUGGAAGCCAACUCAUGGUUACUGCUCAAGUUAAGGGGUUUCAAUGGCAAACUUGGAUGACCACCUUUCAGGCUGAUGUUAUGGUCCUACCUCUUGGGUGUUGUGAUGUUGUAUUGGGUGUGCAAUGACUGGCUACAUUAGGUCCUAUCAAUUGGGACUUCAGCAAGCUUCCCAUGAAAUUUUUAGUGGUGGGCAAAAAAUAUGUUUUUAGAGGCUCUUCAUAGUCUUCCCUUAAGUGCAUUAAGCAUCAGCACCUGAACAAACUGCUAGUUCAUGGGGCUUAGCUUGCACUUAUUCAAAUUUUUCCUACCGCCUCUAUUGGAGAAUUAAUGCAGCUAUGUUCUAUCCAUGCUCAUUCUGAUAUUAAUAUCAUACCUACUGCUAUUUCUUAUUGCUUGAGUGCAAUGAUAUCUUUGAAGAACCAAAAGCUCUUCCUCCCUUUAGACUUGGUCAUGAUCAUAAAAUUUCCUUGAUGGAAGGUUCCAAUCCAAUCAAUAAAAGAUCUUACAGAUAGGGUACAUGCCAAAAAGAUGUCAUUGAAAAUUUGGUGAAUGAGAUGCUACAGUCUGGAGCAAUCCAACCUAGCUCUAGUCCCUAUGUUUCACGAGUGGUGUUGCUGGGAAAAAAGGAUGGCUCUUGGUGCUUGUGUGGACUAUAGGGAGCUUAAUAAAAAUACAAUCAAGGAUAAAUUUCCUAUUCCCUUGGUUGAAGACCUCAUAUAUGAGUUAGAGGGUGUUGCAGUAUUUAUCAAGAUUGACUUAAAGGUAGGUUACCAUCAGCUUAGGAUGGAUCCUGCAGAUGUGUUCAAGAUUGUCUUUAAAACCUACCUAGGGCAUUUUGAGUAUAUGGUUAUGCCCUUUGGCUUGACAAAUGCCCCCUCCACCUUCCAACACUUGAUGAAUACCAUCUUUCAGCCUUAUUUGAAAAAGUUUGUCUUGAUUUUCUUUGAUGAUAUUUUGGUCUAUAGUAUUGAUUUGGAGGCCCAUGUACAUCAUUUGUCCUUGGUGCUUUCUCUCUUAAGGCAACACAGUUUAUUUGUCAAGAAAAGCAAGUGUUCUUUUGUUGCUCCAAAGGUAGAAUACCUAGGAUAUUUCAUUUCUAAGGAUAGUAUUUCUAUUGAUCCUGCUAAAAUUGUUGCUGUUCAACAAUGGCCUCUUCCCACCAAUAUUAAGCAAUUAAGAGAUUUUCUAGGCUUGACGGGCUACUAUAGAAGAUUUAUCAAGAAUUACAGACAACUUGCCAAACCUCUUACCACUGUCCUGAAAGAAGAUAAUUUUGAUUGGAACCCUAUAGCCACUCUUGCCUUUGAACAAUUGAAAGCUACCCUCACAUCUAUUCCUGUUCUUGUUUUGCUUGAUUUUGCCAAGUCAUUUCUGAUUGAGACUGAUGCUUCAGGCCAUGGUAUUGGUGCAGUUUUGAUGCAAGAGCAUCAUUCUAUUACUUUCAUUAAUAGAGCCUUAGGUCCUAGACUCAGUCUAUGAAAAAGAACUCCUAGCUGUCAUAUUUGCAAUCCAGAAAUGGAGGCACUAUCUUCUUACUGGGCACUUCAUCAUCGAGAUUGAUUAGAUCAUCAUCGAGAUUGAUUAGAAAAGUCCGAAGUAUCUCUUGAAUCAGAGGCUAUCCACACAGUUCCAAUUAGAUUGGAUGGCUAAGUUGCUAAAAUUUGAUUAUGAGAUCAAAUAUGAGCAGGUUAGGAAAAACAUUAAUGCGGAUGCACUUUCUAGGGUUCAAGGGGCUGAGCUGCUCCUCAUGGCUUUAGAUUCUAUUUCUCCCGAUCUGUAUUUUAAAAUUCAGGAUAGUCGGCAGCAAGAUCCACACCUUCAGCCGCUCAUUACUCAGCUGUAGAAUAACUCUUGUGCCCAUCCUCACUAUACUUGGUCUAAUGCUUAACUCUGAAAGUAACAUAAAUUGGUGAUGGGUGCUGACUUUAUCCUCAGGCAUACAAUCUUGACAUGGUUGCAUUCUUCUUCUACAACUAGUCAUUCAGGUAGAGAUGCUACUCUGCAGAGAAUUAAACAACACUUAUAUUGGAAGGGCAUGACUAAAGAUGUGCAAAACUUUGUGAGGGGUUGUGACAUCUGUCAAAGGUAUAAGUAUAACACUGUUGCUUCCCUUGGUCUGCUCCAGCAUCUCCCUAUUCUUGAGCUCAUAUGAAGUGAUAUUUCUAUGGACUUUAUGGACGGCCUUCUUUUUUCCGAUGGAAAAGAUGUUAUAAUGGUGGUGUUGGAUAGACUUAGUAAGGUUGCUCCUUUUAUAGCCUCAACCCACCCCUAUUCUGCCUUGAUUGUUGUCCAGCACUUCAUGGACUAUAUUUUCAAAUUACUUGAUCUUCCCAAUUCUAUUACUAGUGACAGAGACUAUUUUUCUUAGUGAUUUCUAGAAGAAGCUUUUUGCUAUUCAAUGAGUGGAUCUGCAAUUAUCUUCAGCCUACCAUCCAUAGACGGAUGGUACUGAGGUAGUUAAUAGAUAUUUGAAAACCUAUUUGAGGUGCAUGUGUAGGGUCCCUACUUUCUGGGCUAAAUGGUUUUCUUUGGUAGAAUGGUGUUAUUAUUAUGAGUUAGUAUAUGGUCAACCUCCACCUAUUCAUUUGCCUUAUCUUCUUGGAGAAUUCAAGAUAGACUUGGUUGAUAGAAGCCUCAAGAAAAGAGAUGAAAUGAUCCAAUUUCUUAAAUUUCACUUGCAAAGAGCUCAGCACAGAAUGAAACAACAAGCAGAUGCCCAUAAAAUAGAUAGACAUUUUCAAAUUGGUAAUUUUGCUUACUUCAAAUUGCAACUUUAUAGGCAGGGCUCUAUGGUGCAUAGAACUUGACAGAAAUUGGCUCCUAGAUAUUUGAGACAUUACAAGAUGGGUGCAGUGGCUUAUACUCUUGAGCUUCCUCUUGGUUCUAAGGUCCAUAAUAUUUUUCUUGUGUUACAAUUAAGAGGUGUAUUGGCUCUCACAAUUCUUCUACUGCACUUCCUUCCUAUAUGGAUUCUGAAGCAAUUAUGGAACUUGAGGCUAUUCUAGACAGGGUUCUGAUCAAAAGUGGAAGGCAGGCUGCUACAAAGGUAUCGGUGAAAUGGAAAAACAAACCCAUUGAAGAUGCCAAUUGGGAAUUCUACCAUGACCUGCUUAAGAAAUUUUCCUCCUUUAACCCUCGAGGUCAAGGGUUCCCUUAAGGGAAGGGGUGUGUUACAGGAGAAUCAAGAUGACCCACCGCAUAAGCUGCACAUGAGUCUUUAAUAAGAAAAAAAAGAGAAAAGUUAGUUGAUGAGCUGUCACUCUGUUAGUUGGUAUUCUGUUAGAAGUUGUUAGAAUUUUGUUCUGUUAUUAGCUGGCAAUUUGUACAUAAUUCACUAUACAUACUUGUAUCAUGAGUUGAGACUCGUAAUGACAAUUCCUAAAAUUCUACUAUAUUUCUUCUCUCUCUCUGUAUCUCUAAUUUUUAAAAUUCCCUCAAUUGUUCUGGAGAAUUGUUCUCCACAAUUUCCCAAUUCUCCUAAUAAAUUGAGAUAGAAUUACUUGAAUUUCCCUCAAAUUCCUAUGAUUCUAGUUUUACUAUAUCAGCCUGAGAGGAGAGAGUCAUCGGAGUGUCGUUGCAGGUAUCUAAAGAUCAAGUGUAUUGCAAAAAAGAAAUUGGAC
rnacentral:lncRNA from 1 species